ACGCGUGAGUAACCUGCCUUUCAGAGGGGGAUAACGCUCUGAAAAGAACGCUAAUACCGCAUGAGACUACAGAGCUGCAUGGCUCAGUGGUCAAAGGAGCAAUCCGCUGAAAGAUGGACUCGCGUCCGAUUAGAUAGUAGGCGGGGUAACGGCCCACCUAGUCGACGAUCGGUAGCCGGACUGAGAGGUUGAACGGCCACAUUGGGACUGAGACACGGCCCAGACUCCUACGGGAGGCAGCAUG
rnacentral:rRNA from 1 species